UAAGCGACUAAGCGUACACGGUGGAUGCCUAGGCAGUCAGAGGCGAUGAAGGGCGUGCUAAUCUGCGAAAAGCGUCGGUAAGCUGAUAUGAAGCGUUAUAACCGACGAUACCCGAAUGGGGAAACCCAGUGCAAUACGUUGCACUAUCGUUAGAUGAAUACAUAGUCUAACGAGGCGAACCGGGGGAACUGAAACAUCUAAGUACCCCGAGGAAAAGAAAUCAACCGAGAUUCCCCCAGUAGCGGCGAGCGAACGGGGAGGAGCCCAGAGUCUGAAUCAGUUUGUGUGUUAGUGGAAGCGUCUGGAAAGUCGCACGGUACAGGGUGAUAGUCCCGUACACCAAAAUGCACAGGCUGUGAACUCGAUGAGUAGGGCGGGACACGUGACAUCCUGUCUGAAUAUGGGGGGACCAUCCUCCAAGGCUAAAUACUCCUGACUGACCGAUAGUGAACCAGUACCGUGAGGGAAAGGCGAAAAGAACCCCGGCGAGGGGAGUGAAAUAGAACCUGAAACCGUGUACGUACAAGCAGUGGGAGCACCUUCGUGGUGUGACUGCGUACCUUUUGUAUAAUGGGUCAGCGACUUAUAUUUUGUAGCAAGGUUAACCGAAUAGGGGAGCCGUAGGGAAACCGAGUCUUAACUGGGCGUCUAGUUGCAAGGUAUAGACCCGAAACCCGGUGAUCUAGCCAUGGGCAGGUUGAAGGUUGGGUAACACUAACUGGAGGACCGAACCGACUAAUGUUGAAAAUUAGCGGAUGACUUGUGGCUGGGGGUGAAAGGCCAAUCAAACCGGGAGAUAGCUGGUUCUCCCCGAAAGCUAUUUAGGUAGCGCCUCGUGAACUCAUCUUCGGGGGUAGAGCACUGUUUCGGCUAGGGGGCCAUCCCGGCUUACCAAACCGAUGCAAACUCCGAAUACCGAAGAAUGUUAUCACGGGAGACACACGGCGGGUGCUAACGUCCGUCGUGAAGAGGGAAACAACCCAGACCGCCAGCUAAGGUCCCAAAGUCAUGGUUAAGUGGGAAACGACGUGGGAAGGCACAGACAGCCAGGAUGUUGGCUUAGAAGCAGCCAUCAUUUAAAGAAAGCGUAAUAGCUCACUGGUCGAGUCGGCCUGCGCGGAAGAUGUAACGGGGCUAAACCAUGCACCGAAGCUGCGGCAGCGACACUUAGGUGUUGUUGGGUAGGGGAGCGUUCUGUAAGCCGUUGAAGGUGACCUGUGAGGGUUGCUGGAGGUAUCAGAAGUGCGAAUGCUGACAUAAGUAACGAUAAUGCGGGUGAAAAACCCGCACGCCGGAAGACCAAGGGUUCCUGUCCAACGUUAAUCGGGGCAGGGUGAGUCGACCCCUAAUGCGAGGCUGAAAAGCGUAGUCGAUGGGAAACAGGUUAAUAUUCCUGUACUUGGUGUUACUGCGAAGGGGGGACGGAGAAGGCUAGGCUGGCCGGGCGACGGUUGUCCCGGUUUAAGCGUGUAGGGGGAGUGACCAGGUAAAUCCGGUUGCUUAUCAACCCUGAGGCGUGAUGACGAUGCACCACGGUGCAGAAGCAGUUGAUGCCAUGCUUCCAGGAAAAGCCUCUAAGCAUCAGGUAACAUUAAAUCGUACCCCAAACCGACACAGGUGGUCAGGUAGAGAAUACUCAGGCGCUUGAGAGAACUCGGGUGAAGGAACUAGGCAAAAUGGUGCCGUAACUUCGGGAGAAGGCACGCUGGCGUUAGGUGAAAGGACUAGCUCCUGGAGCUGAAGCCAGUCGCAGAUACCAGCUGGCUGCAACUGUUUAAUAAAACACAGCACUGUGCAAACACGAAAGUGGACGUAUACGGUGUGACGCCUGCCCGGUGCUGGAAGGUUAAUUGAUGGGGUCAGCCGCAAGGCGAAGCUCUUGAUCGAAGCCCCAGUAAACGGCGGCCGUAACUAUAACGGUCCUAAGGUAGCGAAAUUCCUUGUCGGGUAAGUUCCGACCUGCACGAAUGGCGUAAUGAUGGCCAGGCUGUCUCCACCCGAGACUCAGUGAAAUUGAACUCGCUGUGAAGAUGCAGUGUACCCGCGGCAAGACGGAAAGACCCCGUGAACCUUUACUAUAGCUUGACACUGAACAUUGAGCCUUGAUGUGUAGGAUAGGUGGGAGGCCUUGAAGUGUGGACGCCAGUCUGCAUGGAGCCAACCUUGAAAUACCACCCUUUAAUGUUUGAUGUUCUAACUCGGCCCCAUGAUCUGGGGUGAGGACAGUGUCUGGUGGGUAGUUUGACUGGGGCGGUCUCCUCCCAAAGAGUAACGGAGGAGCACGAAGGUUAGCUAAUCACGGUCGGACAUCGUGAGGUUAGUGCAAAGGCAUAAGCUAGCUUGACUGCGAGAGUGACGGCUCGAGCAGGUACGAAAGUAGGUCUUAGUGAUCCGGUGGUUCUGAAUGGAAGGGCCAUCGCUCAACGGAUAAAAGGUACUCCGGGGAUAACAGGCUGAUACCGCCCAAGAGUUCAUAUCGACGGCGGUGUUUGGCACCUCGAUGUCGGCUCAUCACAUCCUGGGGCUGAAGUAGGUCCCAAGGGUAUGGCUGUUCGCCAUUUAAAGUGGUACGCGAGCUGGGUUUAGAACGUCGUGAGACAGUUCGGUCCCUAUCUGCCGUGGGCGUUGGAAGAUUGAGAGGGGCUGCUCCUAGUACGAGAGGACCGGAGUGGACGAAUCACUGGUGUUCGGGUUGUCAUGCCAAUGGCAUUGCCCGGUAGCUAAAUUCGGAAGAGAUAACCGCUGAAAGCAUCUAAGCGGGAAACUUGCCUCGAGAUGAGUCUUCCCUGGGGCUUAAAGCCCCCUGAAGGAACGUUAAAGACUAUGACGUUGAUAGGCUGGGUGUGUAAGUGCAGCGAUGUAGUGAGCUAACCAGUACUAAUGAUCCGUGAGGCUUAACCU
rnacentral:rRNA from 1 species